UACGAACGCUGGCGGCGUGCUUAACACAUGCAAGUCGAACGGAAAGGCCCUGCUUUUGUGGGGUGCUCGAGUGGCGAACGGGUGAGUAACACGUGAGUAACCUGCCCUUGACUUUGGGAUAACUUCAGGAAACUGGGGCUAAUACCGGAUAGGAGCUCCUGCUGCAUGGUGGGGGUUGGAAAGUUUCGGCGGUUGGGGAUGGACUCGCGGCUUAUCAGCUUGUUGGUGGGGUAGUGGCUUACCAAGGCUUUGACGGGUAGCCGGCCUGAGAGGGUGACCGGCCACAUUGGGACUGAGAUACGGCCCAGACUCCUACGGGAGGCAGCAGUGGGGAAUAUUGCACAAUGGGCGGAAGCCUGAUGCAGCAACGCCGCGUGCGGGAUGACGGCCUUCGUGUUGUAAACCGCUUUCGCCUGUGACGAAGCGUGAGUGACGGUAAUGGGUAAAGAAGCACCGGCUAACUACGUG
rnacentral:rRNA from 1 species